rnacentral:lncRNA from 1 species
ACUCCAGUCACUUUCCAGGCAAGACAGGGCUACCUUCAGCAUCUCUAGUGAAAGUGGUGAAUUAGCACUUCAGAAGUGAGAUGGCAUGGACAGAAGCUUCUGGGGCUGAGCUCACCAUUGGAAGCUUCUUUCCAGCUUCCUGAAGGUCUCUGGAGGUCUCUUCUUACCGGGGAGGAUGAUCCCUGGUGGCUCCCUGCUGACAUUCUUCAAAACUCGGCUAUUUCCCCAGUGUCCUGCUGAUAAAACAGAAGAGGAAAUGAUGAAAGUAGGUUGCUCUAUUAUUAACUCAUCUUUUAAUUUCAGUUCGUUUGUUUUAGUAUGUUUCUUGAUGCUAGGCAUGACACCCAUUCAUUCAUUCAUUUAUUCAUUAAACAAAUGUUUAUCAAUGAUAUGUGACAUUCUAGGCACUAUUCUAGACAUUCUAGGCACUAUUCUAGACAUUUAGAAUACAGCAGUGAACAAAAUAAAGAUCCCUACCAGUGUGAAGCAAACAUUCUAGAGGGGAAAAAAGGCAAGAAACAAUAACACAACAGCACAGUUUAUUGUCUCUAAGAUGGCAGUGAUACAAGAUGCACUGCUAGUCUAUGUGCCACUAAAGAAAGAAAGAAUGCUGCUAAUAAAUUGCUGCCAUUAUAGAAUGCAUCUUGAUUUUAUGUAUGUUAAGAUGUGAAACUUAGAAUUGAUUACAUAAGAUAAAUAAACUAUAAUAUAUCAAAAUGUGGCUAUGAAAAAAGUGAAGCUGGGAGGGGAGUGGUGAUAUUGAACAAAGGCUUGAAAGAAAUGGGACUGUUAAAUUAAUGGCAACUAUUUUUGCAAAACUGCUUUAUUGAGAUGUAAUUUAUAUAUAAUAAAACUCACCCUUUUAAGUGUAUAAUCCAUUUUAGUAAGGUUACAGAGUUACACAAACAUGAUCUAGAUUACCAUGAUCUAGAUUUAUAAUAUUUCUUUCUUUUUUUUAAAAAAAAGAACACGUAACAGGAGAUCUAUCUCUUAACAAAUUUUUAAGUGUACAAUACAGUGUUGUUAACCAGAGUCACAAUUUUGUACAGCAGAUCUCCAGAACUUAAUCAUCUUGAAUAACUAAAACUUUAUAACCCUUGAAUAAUACCUUUCCAUUUAUACUGCCCCAUCCCCUAGCAACCACCAUUCUACUCUGUUUCUAUGUGUUUGACUUUAGAUACAUUUAGAUACUUAUGUAAGUGGAAUUAUGCAGUGUUUGUCCUUUUGUGACUGGCUUAUUUCACUUAGCAUAAUGUCCUCCAGGCUCUUCCAUGUUGUAGCAUAUGGUAGAAUUUUUUUAAAGCUGAAUAAUAUUCUACUGCAUGUGCAGUAUGCCACAUUCUCUUUAUCCAUUCAUCCAGCAAUGAACAUUUGGGUGGUUUCCACCUCUUGGCUACUGUGAAUAAUGCUGAAAUUAACAUGGGAGUGCAGAUAUCUCUUUGAGGUCCUGAUUUCAAAUCUUUUGGAUAAAUCCCCCAAAUGGGAUUGUUAGAUCAUAUAGUACUUCUAUUUUGAUUUUUUCAUGAACCUCCAUACUGUUUUCUAUAGCAAUUGCACCAUUUUACAUUCCUACCACAGUGUGCCAGGAUUUCAGUUUCUCAACAGCUUAGCCAACACUUAUCUUUGUUUUUUUUUUUUUUUGGUUUUUUUUUUUGGAUAAUAGACAUCCUAACAGCUGUGAGAUGAUAUCUCAUUGUAGUUUUGAUUGUAUUUUCCUGAUGACUAGUGAUGUUGAGUACCUUUUCAUAUACCUAUUGGAAUGGCAGCUAUUUAUUGAACAACUAUGAUAUCCAAGAGGGCAGAUAUCAUUUGUUUACCACUGUGUCCCCACUGCUAAAGCAUCUGGCACAUGGUAGGUACUCAAUAAACAUUUGUUGAAUGAAUGAGCUACUAUUCAUAUAUGCCAGGUACUUCACAGUGAAUUCUUAUCAAAUGUUUGGAGGUAAGCAUGGUCAUGCCUAUUUUAUGAACGGUGAAACUGAGGCUCAGAAAAGUAACUUGUUCCUGGUCACAAACCCAGGUGAGGAGAAUAUAGUACUUGAACCCAGGUCUCUCUGAUGUUAACAUGUAAACUCUUCCUCUACAUCUCACUGGCUUCUCUGCUUCUGGCCAUUUUAAUAUCCCUCUGGUACAAAAAUAAAAAUAAAAAAAAAUUGGAACACCAGGCAAGCAGGGGCUUUGGAUAAAAAUCAGACUCAUAGAAACCAGAAUGAAACCUUUGGGAAUAGAAAGCCCAAUUCACUGCCUGGGAAAUGUCACAUUUUGUGGAGGUGCAAGCAGUUGGCUUGUUAUCUCAGAUCUCAAGUUCUAGCUACUUUCACUUUAAAAUCUAUUAUUUGAGUGAAUUAAGACUCCCUGCCUCCAAAGAGACGAUUUUUUUUAGUAAAAACUCUCCCUUGUUAAACAGUUUAACUCAAACUGGCAGCAUAACUGUUAAAAACAAACUUACUUUGAUACUUUGCAAAGCAUAAGGCCAAAUAACAAUGGACAUGGAAACCCACCACAGUCUUUCUAAGACUAAGUCAAACAUCCUAUAUAUAGAAAAACAUCUUGGGUAAAAUCUGUUAAGCCAAUAUUGGCUGAAUUCAAAAUUACACCUAAUUUGAAACAACUGCUUUUUCCU